rnacentral:rRNA from 1 species
UGGGGAAUUUUGGACAAUGGGCGAAAGCCUGAUCCAGCAAUGCCGCGUGUGUGAAGAAGGCCUUCGGGUUGUAAAGCACUUUUGUCCGGAAAGAAAUCCUUGGCUCUAAUACAGUCGGGGGAUGACGGUACCGGAAGAAUAAGCACCGGCUAACUACGUGCCAGCAGCCGCGGUAAUACGUAGGGUGCAAGCGUUAAUCGGAAUUACUGGGCGUAAAGCGUGCGCAGGCGGUUUGCUAAGACCGAUGUGAAAUCCCCGGGCUCAACCUGGGAACUGCAUUGGUGACUGGCAGGCUAGAGUAUGGCAGAGGGGGGUAGAAUUCCACGUNUAGCAGUGAAAUGCGUAGAGAUGUGGAGGAAUACCGAUGGCGAAGGCAGCCCCCUGGGCCAAUACUGACGCUCAUGCACGAAAGCGUGGGGAGCAAACAGGAUUAGAUACCCUGGUAGUCCACGCCCUAAACGAUGUCAACUAGUUGUUGGGGACUUCAUUUUCCUUAGUAACGUAGCUAACGCGUGAAGUUGACCGCCUGGGGAGUACGGUCGCAAGAUUAAAACUUAAAUGAAUUGACGGGGUCAUAGCUG